rnacentral:miRNA from 1 species
GGGAUUACCUGGGUGUGUCUAAGGUGUUUUUUUUUCUUUUUCUAAACACCUUAGACACACCCAGGAAAUCCCUA